rnacentral:rRNA from 1 species
UACGAGAGGUCCAAACGUUAUUCGGAAUCACUGGGCUUACAGAGUUCGUAGGCGGUUCUACAAGUGGGGUGUGAAAGCCCUCGGCUCAACCGAGGAACUGCGCUCCAAACUGUAGAACUAGAGGAAGAUAGAGGUGAGCGGAACUGAUGGUGGAGCGGUGAAAUGCGUUGAUAUCAUCAGGAACACCGGAGGCGAAGGCGGCUCACUGGGUCUUUUCUGACGCUGAGGAACGAAAGCUAGGGGAGCAAACGGG